UACGUAGGGCGGCAAGCGUUGUCCGGAAUCAUUGGGCGUAAAGAGCUCGUAGGCGGCCUGUUGCGUCCGCUGUGAAAUCCCGGGGCUUAACCCCGGGCGUGCAGUGGAUACGGGCUGGCUGGAGGCAGGCAGGGGAGAACGGAAUUCCCGGUGUAGCGGUGAAAUGCGCAGAUAUCGGGAGGAACACCGGUGGCGAAGGCGGUUCUCUGGGCCUGUACUGACGCUGAGGAGCGAAAGCGUGGGGAGCGAACAGG
rnacentral:rRNA from 1 species